rnacentral:tRNA from 1 species
GUGAGGUCAUGGCUCAGUGGAAGAACCUCUGCUUUGCAUGCAGAAGGUGUCAGUUUCAAUCCCCGGCAUCUCCCG